rnacentral:lncRNA from 1 species
GUGGCCAUUGACCUGCAGGUGGGAACCGCAGGGAGCCUCGGAGCGUUGACCGGGCAGCUCCGAGGAAGCGCAGCCUGCACAGCGGCAGCACCCGGGCGAGCCUGGGUGCCGCGCUGCGCGCAGCUGCACGGCUAAAGAGCAAGCCCGGACAGGGUCACUAGAGAUCGGUAAUUGUUAGGCAGCCAUGCAAGAGUGGAAAAAAACCCACAGCUUAAAUACUCCUCCCCCAGCCUAACCCCCAGGAUUAUGCCUCUGAUAACCACGGUGGUAGCUGGCCCCCUAUUGGGUUCAUCUCCGAGUCUGCUGUGGGUGCAGUGAAGUGUUGCCCGGUUUCUUUAAUGAUCAGUAUUACGCUUUUUAUAUCUUUAAGGUUUCUGAAACGGCUGUUGAGCCUGUUUUUCUGUGCCAGUAUCAGGCAUCAGCGGGCCCUGGCGCUGAAGCAGACCCCAGCGGGACGCCUGGAAGGCAGUGCUGUGCCAGGGCACGAAGAACCCACCUGCUCUUUGCUUUCCUGUUUGGAAUAUGUUUGAUAUGAAACAAAAAGUAGAGUGGGCCAGGUCCUCAUUAGUUUCCUGGAGGCAGAAGGAUGAUGUCUGUGCUUGGAAGCUGGACUGCUGAAUCUCAAAUUAUGGCUUACAGGCCACUGGUUACCUGUAAAAGCUAUAAUCAAUUUAUCACUGAUGCGUUAAUAAAGUUUGCUGACGUGGAGGCACGGUCAUCUCUGAAAAAUUCUAAAGAAGAGGGGUUCCUCAUUCAACAAGAUUUGGAAGCUGUUGGCUAGAUAACUCUCCUAGUGCGCCUGGGGCUAUAGCACAUCAGUUCACUCAAGUAGCGGUGGUUCGGUGGCAAUCCAGUGUUUUACAACGCCCACAGCAGACAGCCUGACAUACCGCAACGAAAGAUGGAUGGCACUUUCUGAAACUGGUCAGCUAGCAUAACUUGGGAGAAACUGCACUCCGCUCAGGUCUCCUCUUGCGUUGCUUCAGCUGACACACAACUCUUACUUGCUUGGAGCUGGUGCAUAAAGUUGUUAAAUGCCUGUGAUGACUGUUUUCCACUCCAGUAAGGUGUAAUAAUUUGAAUAUCUAUCUAGAUAUUCCAAGGCACGCUAUUAUAGACCAACAUGCACACUCACAGAGAUUCACAGACUGGAAUAUACAGAUACUCUGUGCUGGAUAUCUGUACACUUUAGUCACAGAUACCUUUAUAUAAAGUGUAAUGAAGUACCAUAAAGGAAUCAUCAUCAUGACAAUGCAUUCCUAAUAAAGGGUCCUCCAUGUACA